rnacentral:rRNA from 1 species
AACGUAGGGCGCAAGCGUUGUCCGGAAUUACUGGGCGUAAAGCGUGCGCAGGCGGUUCUCCAAGUCCGUUGUGAAAGCCCCGGGCUCAACCUGGGAAUGGCAGUGGAAACUAGGGGACUUGAAUCUGGCAGAGGGGGGUGGAAUUCCACGUGUAGCAGUGAAAUGCGUAGAGAUGUGGAGGAACACCGAUGGCGAAGGCAGCCCCCUGGGCUGAGAUUGACGCUCAGGCACGAAAGCGUGGGGAGCAAACAGG